UAAGAAUGCUAUUUGCAGAGAUGGUGUAGUCUUAAGACUUUGGAUUUGUGGGCUUUGAAGUUUCCUCAGCACAAUAAGCUCUUUUUCUACUGUGUCUACUUUUGCCACGGGCCACUGCUCAUUGUACAACCAGCAUGCUGUUCCCUGAGUGAAUCUUCCUGAAAGUCUGUAAAAAGGGAAUCUGAGGAAACAGAGCCCUUCAUCAAAAGGUUUCUGCAUGAGCGCACAUUCAAUUCUCCACUGUUUUGAUAAGAUGAAUCAUGUGUGGAUAAAUUGUGGAUCACAUUUAUCUUUUGAAACUUACUACUUGAGGUUUGCUCUCUAAAAUAAGACUCUUGGACUCACAAAGGCCAGAAAACCUUUAUGUCUGCAGAUAUAUGAUAAGAAGAUGUUUAAAGUACUCUGUUGGAAAUAUCUGGGGAGUGCCAUAAAGGAGAAGGACUGGUAUCCCUCAGUCCCACAAGGUCACUGGAGUGGAACAUCAGUGCUAUGACAUAUUUGUUUCCGGGGAAAAGCACAUUGGCCUUUGCCUCCUUCUUUUCUAACCAGCUGGCAAAUAAAGGUAUUUGACAGCAAAAAUACAGAGAUAUCCACUUAUCAAAUAUACUAGUUUGGAAAAGGUGUCAGAAAGCAGAAAUGAAUGGGUGUGUGUUGUGUGCUGUGGCACCAUAUUUAUAGAACACAGGGUUAGCCUUAAGAAAGACAUACCUAUCUUUUGGAAAUAUUGAUCUGUCAUUUUGAAAAAUAGGAAGAAAAACUGUUAAAAUUCUGUUGCUGCAUUAUUUUCAUUGGCAUCCCUAGGAAAAUCCUUUUACUACGUCCAGUUUAUUGGAAAUAGUCUUAGAAUAAAUUAAUGUGAGUAUCCUCACUGCAGAUGUCUGUUCAUGCACAUAAUGAUUUUAG
rnacentral:lncRNA from 1 species